UAGGUUUUGCUUUAAAAAUGCCAUUACUUGAGAAACAUGAAAAUAGUGAGCAGUUGCUGGUGAAAAGUGAAUCCUAUCUGCAGAUUUUAAAAAACAAAGAUCAGAGAAAGAGGCUUGUACAUGAAAUCUGCACCUUUUUGGACAGCAGCCAAUCUGUACAGGAGAUUGAUGCUUUGAGAACAGAAAAUAGGAAGCUAAAAAAUGCG